GGGCCCGCACAAGCGGUGGAGUAUGUGGUUUAAUUCGAUGCAACGCGAAGAACCUUACCAGGGUUUGACAUACUACAAAUUCUUUUGAGAAAAAGAAGUGCCUUCGGGAAUGUAGAUACAGGUGGUGCAUGGCUGUCGUCAGCUCGUGUCGUGAGAUGUUGGGUUAAGUCCCGCAACGAGCGCAACCCUUAUUUUUAGUUACCAAUUCGUUGGGUUCUCUAGAAAGACUGCCGGUGACAAACCGGAGGAAGGUGAGGAUGACGUCAAGUCAGCAUGCCCCUUAUGUCCUGGGCUACACACGUGCUACAAUGGUUAAGACAAAGAGUCGCGAGCUCGUGAGAGUCAGCUAAUCUCAUAAACUUAGCCCAAGUUCAGAUUGUAGGCUGCAACUCGCCUACAUGAAGUUGGAAUCGCUAG
rnacentral:rRNA from 1 species